UCUUUUUACAUGGAAACUUUUAUUCUCAGUGAGAUCUGUACAUUCAAGUCGCACAUACUUUUAAGUCUUUGAUGGAGCUGGAGCACGUGACCACAAAAAACACCUCAUCUGCUUGAAUGGUUAAGAGUUUAUGCCUCGAAAGUAGCCAGGAAAUUUGUGACUAUUUCCUUCAACUUUGCUUCUGUCUGGUCAGAGAUCUUCCCUUCGGUCCUGAUUGUAGCGAGGAGGG